AUUGGAAAGGUGGGGCCAUUACAGGGAGGUCUUGUGUUUAUUUGUGGGUUGGGAUUUUGAAAAUGGGGUGGUUUUGCUUUUGUUUUUUUUUUUUUGAGCACGGGUGUGAAGGAUGGUGGCAGCAGCAGUUUGACAGUAAAGCUGCUGAAAGCCUGUGGUGCUAUCCAGCACGCUCCUGUGCCAGGAGGGGACACACCUCAGCACAGCUGGAAGAGAUGGUGAGCAGUGACACACACGAGAUGGUGAGCAGUGACGCAUGGAGCAGCCGUGGAACCUGCAGAAGGGGUGUGACUGAAGGUAACAUGAGUCAGAUCAAGUGAGUCAAGAGCCAAGGGACUAGGGAAUUCAGCUGGAUCCUGCACUUCAGUAUCUACCACCAAAACACAAAAGAAAAGCAAUGGAAAAUAAAUUGAAUGUAUGAGUCUGAAAGUAAGUCCUGCAGCAUGAUCGUCAGUUGUGUGCAGCAAGGAAGGAAAACAUAACUACAUGAAUGAAACAAAGGAAGUUAUCCACAGUGUUGGAACUGGAAGGACUAAUGAGUUAGCUGUCAUCUGCACUACAUCAGCCCGAAAACCUGUCUAGUCUGGUAGCAAAAUACCAAAAGCCUUGAAAAAAUUCAAUUGGUAUGGCAGGAACCCAGUAGUAUGACCUCCCUGUAAUGUCCCAGAUUUACCAAGCGAAAGGUAAUGCCUUUGUGUUCAAUAACCCCUAAUAAGUUUUUCUUUCUUUUUUUUUUCCCUAAUUGUUUUUAAACCUGAUGUAAAAAUCUUCAAUCUGUGAUGUCCCGUGGCACAGCACUCUCCACCACUUGACAGCUCAUUGGGAAGAAUCACCAUUUCCUUUCCUUUGCAGCCACUUGCUCAUCUGCCUUUCGUAUUAGAAACAGUGGCUGUGUUCCCCAUUCACUUUUUCCACACUGGCUGUGAGUUGAGGGCCCUCUCCUAUACCCCCACUGAGCUUCUCUUUACCAGCCUGAAGAGAUCCAUUAAAAGGUUUCUUUUUCAUACUGUUUUCAAAAAAAUGUCAAGUUUAUGUAUUAUUUUGUUACUUAUGGAGCACUGGCAUGGUGCUUAAUUAUUGCUUUUGUUAUUAUGCUGAAUCAGUGUUUUCAUAAAUUAUUCUAUUUCAAACCCACUAUCUCAUUCCUAAGUACUACAGUCAAUUCAGAGCCUGUCGUAUAUAUAAAGUUAGUGUGUUUUCUCCCGUAUUUGCAACAUUUAUCUACAUUGAAUUUAAUUUUAUUGACAAGCUAUUACCAUAUUGCUGCUAGAUGCAGUCCUGCAAUUCAAAAUAGUCAGCCCUCCUCUUUACUAUUUUGAUUAACUAUUAUGGGUAAUCGCUAUUUGCUAAGUAAGGUAAUUAAUGAAUACAUUGAGCAACACAAUCCCUAAUAUUUCUAGCAUCACAUCUUUAGCAUUAGUGUAGCUCUCCAUAGAGUUGUACAGUUAUAUUUGUCUUCAGCACAUACAUAAUUGACAGUUACCUC